rnacentral:rRNA from 1 species
UCCAGACUCCUACGGGAGGCAGCAGUGGGGAAUAUUGCACAAUGGGGGAAACCCUGAUGCAGCGACGCCGCGUGGGUGAAGGAGUGCUUCGGCAUGUAAAGCCCUAUCGGCAGGGAAGAAGCAAGACGGUACCUGACUAAGAAGCCCCGGCUAACUACGUGCCAGCAGCCGCGGUAAUACGUAGGGGGCAAGCGUUAUCCGGAUUCACUGGGCGUAAAGGGAGCGCAGGCGGCAUGGCAAGUCUGAUGUGAAAACCCGGGGCCCAACCCCGGGAGUGCAUUGGAAACUGCCAGGCUGGAGUGUCGGAGGGGUAAGCGGAAUUCCUAGUGUAGCGGUGAAAUGCGUAGAUAUUAGGAGGAACACCAGUGGCGAAGGCGGCUUACUGGACGACUACUGACGCUGAGGCUCGAAAGCGUGGGGAGCAAACAGGAUUAGAUACCCCUGUA